CCUACGGGUGGCAGCAGUAGGGAAUAUUGCUCAAUGGGCGAAACCCUGAACCAGCAACGCCGCGUGGAGGAUGAAGGUUUUCGGAUUGUAAACCUCUUUUGUUAGAGAAGAUAAUGACGGUAUCUAACGAAUAAGCACCGGCUAACUCCGUGCCAGCAGCCGCGGCAAUACGGAGGGUGCAAGCGUUAUUCGGAAUCACUGGGCGUAAAGGGCGCGUAGGCGGGAUAGCAAGUCAGAUGUGAAAUCCUAUGGCUUAACCAUAGAACUGCAUUUGAAACUGUUAUUCUAGAGUAUGGGAGAGGUAGGUGGAAUUCUUGGUGUAGAGGUGAAAUCCGUAGAGAUCAAGAGGAAUACUCAUUGCGAAGGCGGCCUGCUAGAACAUAACUGACGCUGAUGCGCGAAAGCGUGGGGAGCAAACAGGAUUAGAUACCCUGGUAGUC
rnacentral:rRNA from 1 species